UUCGGUCCUCGGUAGUGGCCCCCGGAGUCAUCCUCCGUGAGCCCCGAUCGAAGACCGCC
rfam:Jonesia denitrificans DSM 20603, complete genome.